UACGAAGGGGGCUAGCGUUGCUCGGAAUCACUGGGCGUAAAGGGUGCGUAGGCGGGUUUUUAAAUCAGGGUUGAAAUCCUGGAGCUCAACUCCAGAACUGCCUUUGAUACUGAAGAUCUUGAGUCCGGGAGAGGUGAGUGGAACUGCGAGUGUAGAGGUGAAAUUCGUAGAUAUUCGCAAGAACACCAGUGGCGAAGGCGGCUCACUGGCCCGGUACUGACGCUGAGGCACGAAAGCGUGGGGAGCAAACAGG
rnacentral:rRNA from 1 species